rnacentral:rRNA from 1 species
UACGGGGGGGGCAAGCGUUGUUCGGAAUUACUGGGCGUAAAGGGCGCGUAGGCGGCCUGCUAAGUCACACGUGAAAUCCCUCGGCUCAACCGGGGAACUGCGUGUGAUACUGGCGGGCUUGAAUUCGGGAGAGGGAUGUGGAAUUCCAGGUGUAGCGGUGAAAUGCGUAGAUAUCUGGAGGAACACCGGUGGCGAAGGCGGCAUCCUGGACCGAGAUUGACGCUGAGGCGCGAAAAGCUAGGGUAGCAAACGGGG